UUUACUACUUAAAUUUAAGCAAGGGAUAGAAAGCAAUUUGAUGUCUGUUAUAACAAGAGUUAAAGUAUUUUUUUACAUGGUUUAUGCAAGAUUUGUUUUAUUCUUUUAGUGGUAAAAAUUGUCUGAGUUUUGCUGUGUGUGUGUUACUGAAGGAUGUU